rnacentral:rRNA from 1 species
GACGAACGCUGGCGGCGUGCUUAACACAUGCAAGUCGAACGGAAAGACCCUGCUCUUGUUGGGUGCUCGAGAGGCGAACGGGUGAGUAACACGUGAGUAACCUGCCCUUGACUUUGGGAUAACUUCAGGAAACUGGGGCUAAUACCGGAGAUGAGCUCCUGCUGCAUGGUGGGGGUUGGAAAGUGUCGGCCGUUUGGGAUGGACUCGCGGCUUAUCAGCUUGUUGGUGGGGUAGUGGCUUACCAAGGUUAUGACGGGUAGCCGGCAUGGGAGGGUUGCCGGCCACCAUGGGCCUGCGAGACGCAGCAGACGCCAAUGGGCGGCAGUGGUCGGGAAUCUUGCACAACAGGCGGACGCCUGUGGCAGCAGCGCCCCGUGCGGGAUGACCGCUUUCGGGUUGAAAACCGCUUUCGAAUUAGACGUAGCGUGAGUGACGGUAAUGGGUAAGGAAGCAACGGCUAACUACGUG